rnacentral:rRNA from 1 species
CCUACGGGGGGCAGCAGUGUGGGAUAUUGGUCAAUGGGGGAAACCCUGAACCAGCAACGCCGCGUGAGGGAAGACGGUUUUCGGAUUGUAAACCUCUGUCCUCUGUGAAGAUAAUGACGGUCGCAGAGGAGGAAGCUCCGGCUAACUACGUGCCAGCAGCCGCGGUAAUACGUAGGGAGCGAGCGUUGUCCGGAUUUACUGGGUGUAAAGGGUGCGUGGGCGGUCCUGCAAGUCAGAAGUGAAAUCCAUGGGCUUAACCCGUGAACUGCUGUUGAAACUGGAGAACUAGAGUGGAGUAGAGGUAGGCGGAAGUCCCGGUGUAGUGGUGAAAUGCGUAGAGAUCGGGAGGAACACCAGUGGCGAAGGCGGCCUACUGGGCUUUAACUGACGCUGAGGCACGAAAGCGUGGGUAGCAAACAGGAUUAGAUACCCGAGUAGUC